rnacentral:ncRNA from 1 species
UAGACAGCGAUGAUAAAAACUACGAUUUAUAAAUUUCUUCAGAGAGCCGAUGGUUGGUGAGAAUCGGUGAAAGGUUAAGUCUUUCCACUUUUGGAGCUGUAUGUGAUAAAGCGCAAUUAAUACUUGUGCCUAAAUAUAAAGGGUAGUAACCUCUAUAUUACUAAUGAAGUGGCUGAUUUAUAUUUAUCAGCAAUUUGGGUGGCAACGCGGAUUAUUCCGUCCCAAGU